AAUCAACGCUGGCGGCGUGCCUAACACAUGCAAGUCGAACGCGAGAGGGGCUUCGGCCCUGAUUGAGUGGCAAACGGGUGAGUAACGCGUGGGUGACCUACCUUCGAGUGGGGGAUAACGUUCCGAAAGGGACGCUAAUACCGCAUAACAUCCUGUCUUUGGACAGAUGGAGAUCAAAGCCGGGGAGUCGUAAGACCUGGCGCUUGAGGAGGGGCCCGCGUCCGAUUAGCUAGUUGGUGGGAAUGGCUCACCAAGGCAACGAUCGGUAGCCGGCCUGAGAGGGCGGACGGCCACACUGGGACUGAGACACGGCCCAGACUCCUACGGGAGGCAGCAGUGGGGAAUUGUUCGCAAUGGGCGCAAGCCUGACGACGCAACGCCGCGUGAAGGAUGAAGGUCUCGGAUUGUAAACUUCUGUUGAUCGGGACGAACAGCCAAGGGAUCAAUACCCCUUUGGCCUGACGGUACCGAUUGAGGAAGCCCCGGCUAACUCUGUGCCAGCCGCCGCAGUAA
rnacentral:rRNA from 1 species